AGAAACAUAGCAAUCACUUCCCUGUAAUAAUGUUGCUCUGCCAGCCCAAUACACGAGAGGGGGACUAUAUAAGAAUCAAUGGAGCUGUCACUACCAUGAACUACCCGGCGAUUUGGCAUAUAGGGUACAAUCGCAGAUAAAUACGGUAUAAGCACCACGCCUACACAAUAUCUAUCAUUUACCCAUGGAUCCGAUGGAUAAACGCUAUACGAUCCUAAACAUGUAUAUAAUUCUAAUCUAAUUAAGCCAAGUAUAUAACUAUGAUAAACUAAGAACAAUAUAAUUGCGAAUGUAAACAAGUAGAGCAAAGUCAUAAUCAAUAUAUUGAAGUAGAACAAAGUCAU
rnacentral:lncRNA from 1 species